rnacentral:rRNA from 1 species
UACAGGGGGGGCAAGCGUUGUUCGGAAUUACUGGGCGUAAAGGGCUCGUAGGCGGCCGGCUAAGUCCGACGUGAAAUCCCCAGGCUUAACCUGGGAACUGCGUCGGAUACUGGCGGGCUUGAAUCCGGGAGAGGGAUGCGGAAUUCCAGGUGUAGCGGUGAAAUGCGCAGAUAUCAGGAGGAACACCGGUGGCGAAGGCGGGACUCUGGGCCGAUACUGACGCUGAGGAGCGAAAGCGUGGGGAGCAAACAGG